AGAGUUUGAUCCUGGCUCAGAUUGAACGCUGGCGACAUGCUUUACACAUCCAAGUCGAACGGGGGUGGAGGGGCAACUCUUCACUUCAGUGGCGGACGGGUGAGUAAUGCAUCGGAACGUAUCCCGUAGUGGGGGACAACCCAGCGAAAGCUGGGCUAAUACCGCAUAUGCUCUACGGAGGAAAGUGGGGGACCCGCAAGGGCCUCACGCUAUGGGAGCGGCCGAUGUCCGAUUAGCUAGUUGGUGGGGUAAAGGCCCACCAAGGCGACGAUCGGUAGCUGGUCUGAGAGGAUGAUCAGCCACACUGGGACUGAGACACGGCCCAGACUCCUACGGGAGGCAGCAGUGGGGAAUUUUGGACAAUGGGGGCAACCCUGAUCCAGCCAUGCCGCGUGCGGGAAGAAGGCCUUCGGGUUGUAAACCGCUUUUGGUCGGGAAGAAAGGGCGCUGGCUAAUACCUGGCGCUGUGACGUACCGGCAGAAUAGCCCCGU
rnacentral:rRNA from 1 species